GCAGCAGCCGCGGGAAUACGUAGGUCCCGAGCGUUGUCCGGAUUUAUUGGGCGUAAAGCGAGCGCAGGCGGUUAGAUAAGUCUGAAGUUAAAGGCUGUGGCUUAACCAUAGUACGCUUUGGAAACUGUUUAACUUGAGUGCAAGAGGGGAGAGUGGAAUUCCAUGUGUAGCGGUGAAAUGCGUAGAUAUAUGGAGGAACACCGGUGGCGAAAGCGACUCUCUGGCUUGUAACUGACGCUGAGGCUCGAAAGCGUGGGGAGCAAACAGGAUUAGAUACCCCCGUAGUCCCUGUCUCUUAUACA
rnacentral:rRNA from 1 species